AGUGAACGCUGGCGGCAGGCCUAACACAUGCAAGUCGAACGGUAGCACAGAGGAGCUUGCUCCUUGGGUGACGAGUGGCGGACGGGUGAGGAAUACAUCGGAAUCUACCCUGUCGUGGGGGAUAACGUAGGGAAACUUACGCUAAUACCGCAUACGACCUGAGGUUGAAAGCAGGGGACCGCAAGGCCUUGCGCGAUUGGAUGAGCCGAUGUCCGAUUAGCUAGUUGGUAAGGUAAAGGCUUACCAAGGCGACGAUCGGUAGCUGGUCUGAGAGGAUGAUCAGCCACACUGGAACUGAGACACGGUCCAGACUCCUACGGGAGGCAGCAGUGGGGAAUAUUGGACAAUGGGCGCAAGCCUGAUCCAGCCAUGCCGCGUGUGUGAAGAAGGCCUUCGGGUUGUAAAGCACUUUUGUUGGGAAAGAAAAGCGGUCGGUUAAUACCCGGUCGUACUGACGGUACCCAAAGAAUAAGCACCGGCUAACUUCGUGCCAGCCGCCGCUGUAA
rnacentral:rRNA from 1 species